CUGGGCCGUGUAAUGAUAUUAACUGGUUGACUUUUAUAUUAUGGAAUAUGUAUUAGAACAACUAUGGUAUCAAUCACUUUUUGAUUAUAUAUCUACUCUUUGACUUUUAAUGUAUAUCCUUUAAAUUGAGUUCCUUUCAAUUAUGUGUGUGCCUAAAAUACUAUGAAUUGUUAUUUCAUAUCUAUAAUACUCAAUGGUAUAUUUUUUAUGAUUGCUGUAUUCAGAGGGAGUAAAUAUUUAUGUUAGUAAAAUUAAUGAUUAAUAC
rnacentral:lncRNA from 1 species